GGUCAGUUAGCUCAGUCGGUUAGAGCGUGGUGCUGAUAAUGUCAGGGUAGCAGGUUGGAUCCCCAUAGGGGCCA